UGGAGAGUUUGAUCCUGGCUCAGAUUGAACGCUGGCGGUAGGCUUAACACAUGCAAGUCGAGCGGAAACGAUCCUAGCUUGCUAGGAGGCGUCGAGCGGCGGACGGGUGCGUAACGCGUAGGAAUCUGCCUAGUAGUGGGGGAUAGCCCAGAGAAAUUUGGAUUAAUACCGCAUACACCCUACGGGGAAAAGGAGGCCUUUUAUAGACCUUUCGCUAUUAGAUGAGCCUUCGUCGGAUUAGCUAGUUGGUGAGGUAAAGGCUCACCAAGGCGACGAUCCGUAGCUGUUCUGAGAGGAUGAUCAGCCACACUGGGACUGAGACACGGCCCAGACUACUACGGGAGGCAGCAGUGGGGAAUAUUGGACAAUGGGCGCAAGCCUGAUCCAGCCAUGCCGCGUGUGUGAAGAAGGCUUUCGGGUUGUAAAGCACUUUCAGCGAGGAGGAAAGGUUGCAAAUUAAUACUUUGUAGCUGUGACGUUACUCGCAGAAGAAGGACCGGCUAACUCCGUGCCAGCAGCCGAGGUAAUACGUAUGGUCCGAGCGUUAAUCGGAAUUACUGGGCGUAAAGCGCGCGUAGGUGGUGAAGUCAGUCAGAUGUGAAAGCCCUGGGCUCAACCUGGGAACUGCAUCUGAUACUGCUUGACUAGAGUAUGGUAGAGGGGUGUGGAAUUUCAGGUGUAGCGGUGACAUGCGAAGAGAUCUGAAGGAAUACCAGUGGCGAAGGCGGCCCCCUGGAUUGAUACUGACACUGAGGUGCGAAAGCGUGGGUAGCAAACAGGAUUAGAUACCCUGGUAGUCCACGCCGUAAACGAUGUCAACUAGCCGUUGGAAGACUUGAUCUUUUAGUGGCGCAGCUAACGCAAUAAGUUGACCGCCUGGGGAGUACGGCCGCAAGGUUAAAACUCAAAUGAAUUGACGGGGGCCCGCACAAGCGGUGGAGCAUGUGGUUUAAUUCGAAGCAACGCGAAGAACCUUACCUACUCUUGACAUCCUCAGAACUUAGCAGAGAUGCUUUGGUGCCUUCGGGAACUGAGUGACAGGUGCUGCAUGGCUGUCGUCAGCUCGUGUUUUGAAAUGUUGGGUUAAGUCCCGUAACGAGCGCAACCCUUGUCCUUAUUAGCCAGCACGUAAUGGUGGGAACUUUAAGGAGUCUGCCGGUUACAAACCGGAGGAAGGUGGGGACGACGUCAAGUCAUCAUGGCCCUUACGGGAUGGGCUACACACGUGCUACAAUGGCAAGUACAGAGGGCAGCGAGACCGCGAGGUGGAGCGAAUCCCAGAAAGCUUGUCGUAGUCCGGAUCGGAGUCUGCAACUCGACUCCGUCAAGUCGGAAUCGCUAGUAAUCGUGGAUCAGAAUGCCACGGUGAAUACGUUCCCGGGCCUUGUACACACCGCCCGUCACACCAUGGGAGUGGGUUGCAAAAGAAGUGGCUAGUCUAACCUUCGGGGGGACGGUCACCACUUUGUGAUUCAUGACUGGGGUGAAGUCGUAACAAGGUAACCCUAGGGGAACCUGGGGUUGGAUCACCUCCUU
rnacentral:rRNA from 1 species